GCCCCAGUGGCCUAAUGGAUAAGGCACUGGCCUCCUAAGCCAGGGAUUGAGGGUUCGAGUCCCUUCUGGGUUG
rfam:Salmo salar isolate Sally breed double haploid chromosome ssa07, whole genome shotgun sequence.